GGACAAGGGAAACAUGAAACAGUGGAAGAAAGAAGCCAUAGACACCAUCAUGACUUCAUGACAAAUUACAGAAAUAAGGAUUUUGUUGGAAAUUAAUUUCGAAAUCUAUGCAAGAAGCUCCAGUGAGACAGUGAAUGAAUGUAAAGAAUGAUUAAUCCAGCCAACAACCCAUGCAGCUGGUGAAGUGCUAUGUCUCCUCAUCUUGGGGAAAAGCUGCCACAAUAUUUGUCAGUGAGGCUGCUGGAGAGACGUUGCCAGAGGAGGGGAUUUUCCCUCCUGGCCCUGGGGUGUCCUGCUGGCAGGCUCCUGCAGUGGCCAGUAUUUACCCAGCACCCCAGCAUAUCUUCUUAAGAACCACCUUCUCAAGAACCACCUUCUCAUGAACCACCUUCUCAAGAACCACCUUCUCAUGAACCACCUUCUCAAGAACCAUCUUCUCAUGAACCACCUUCUCAAGAACCACCUUCUCAUGAACCACUCCUGAGAACACAUUUCCAGCAAGUUCUAGAGGGCUGACUUCUAGCAAGUUCUAUUGAUGUGACACCAUGGCAACUUGUCUGCCACCUGGUGAGAUGUGGCUGUGACGUGUCCCACUGGGCUGAACCCCUCAGCCCUUGGCAGUGGGAGGGGGACUUCCGGGAGUGCUCUAUCUCGGUCCUGGGGAGGGGGCUAGGAGAGUGGCUGCUGCUCCAUCUCUGCUAUGCCACACUCUUGGGAGGUCUUUCAUUUCUUCUUAGCCAAUCCCAUGUAACUCUAACCACCCCCCCAUUUUACUCAAUUCUGUAUAGUAAACUUUCCCUGUCUAAAUUACUCUGUGGUUUCUGUCUCCUGAUGGAUCUGUAAUUGAGACAAGACUAUAAACUCUUGAGGAGGAAAAAAUACAAGUUUGAAAAUUUUAAAAAUCCAUGCUGGAACAUAUUCUUCAUGGGUUUAUCCAUUUGAUUUGUGUGUGUCCUUUGUUCUACCCCUCUUGCUAAAACAGCUUCAUAAAAUAUUAUUUAAAGACAGUCCGCAUGCUUCAUUUUCUCCAGUGUUGAUCAGCUUGAUGCAUAAAAUGCCUCCAUUUGAGAAAAACCUGCGAGCUGAAUCCCUCCAAUGCUUGCCAGCCUCAGCUUGGUCAAGCUGGAAACCAUCUGGGCCUUUGUGAAAUUUAAAAUGGGAACAUGGAGAAUGGAAUUUUACCAAAUCUAAUGCGUGCAUGUUUGUGAAUUCUUUGUGUCUCUCUCGCUCUCUUUUUUUUUUUUAUCUCAAACUGUAAUCUCAAAUGAAGAAAAAAAAAUCC